rfam:Echinostoma caproni strain Egypt genome assembly, scaffold: ECPE_scaffold0001340
GCACUGCUGACGAAUCCCAAGCAGGACGAAACAGCUGUCCAGUGC